AGUGAACGCUGGCGGUAGGCCUAACACAUGCAGUUGGACGGGAGCAAAGUAAGAGCUUGCCCUUUCGGGUGGCGAGUGGGGGACGGGUGAGGAAAAAAACGGAAUCUACUUUUUCGGGGGGGAGAACGGAGGGAAACUUACGGUAAUACCGCAUACGACCUACGGGUGAAAGCAGGGGAACUUCGGACCUUGGGGGAAUGAAUGAGCCGAGGUCGGAUUAGCUAGCUGGCGGGGUAAAGGCCCACCAAGGCGACGAUCCGUAGCUGGUCUGAGAGGAUGAUCAGCCACACUGGAACUGAGACACGGUCCAGACUCCUACGGGAGGCAGCAGUGGGGAAUAUUGGACAAUGGGCGCAAGCCUGAUCCAGCCAUACCGCGUGGGUGAAGAAGGCCUUCGGGUUGUAAAGCCCUUUUGUUGGGAAAGAAAAGCAGCAGGUUAAUACCCCGCUGUUCUGACGGUACCCAAAGAAUAAGCACCGGCUAACUUCGUG
rnacentral:rRNA from 1 species